rnacentral:misc_RNA from 1 species
AUCUAAUUUCAGAAGCAUGGUAGCUUGGAUGUUAAUGAAUGUACAAAUAAUUGGCAGCUGUUUGAUGCAUGGAAAUAUGCACUUCCUUGAAAAUGGAUUGUUGUCGUCUGCUAUUAUGUUUACCAAGGCUAAUCUUUUUUAUUGAAAUUUUAAGUGUUCAUUUUUUUGCACACGUGCAUGCAUGUGCACGAAACAAUCAUUGAAUGAGAGCAG